GACGAACGCUGGCGGCGUGCCUAAUACAUGCAAGUCGAGCGGACAGAAGGGAGCUUGCUCCCGGAAGUUAGCGGCGGACGGGUGAGUAACACGUGGGCAACCUACCCUGUAGAUCGGGAUAACAUCAAGAAAUCGGUGCUAAUACCGGAUAAUCAUUUGAAGUGCAUGCUUCGAAUGUAAAAGAUGGCUCCGGCUAUCACUACGGGAUGGGCCCGCGGCGCAUUAGCUAGUUGGUAAGGUAAUGGCUUACCAAGGCAACGAUGCGUAGCCGACCUGAGAGGGUGAUCGGCCACACUGGGACUGAGACACGGCCCAGACUCCUACGGGAGGCAGCAGUAGGGAAUCUUCCGCAAUGGACGAAAGUCUGACGGAGCAACGCCGCGUGAGUGAUGAAGGUUUUCGGAUCGUAAAGCUCUGUUGUUAGGGAAGAACAAGUGCAGUUUGAAUAAGGCGGCACCUUGACGGUACCUAACCAGAAAGCCACGGCUAACUACGUGCCAGCAGCCGCCGCGGUAA
rnacentral:rRNA from 1 species